AAUUAUACAGCGAAACUGCGAAUGGCUCAUUAAAUCAGUUAUCGUUUAUUUGAUAGUACCUUACUACUUGGAUAACCGUGGUAAUUCUAGAGCUAAUACAUGCUAAAAACCCCGACUCACGAAGGGGUGUAUUUAUUAGAUUAAAAACCAAUGCCCUUCGGGGCUCUCUGGUGAUUCAUAAUAACUUCUCGAAUCGCAUGGCCUUGCGCCGGCGAUGGUUCAUUCAAAUUUCUGCCCUAUCAACUUUCGAUGGCAGGGUCUUGGCCUGCCAUGGUUACAACGGGUAACGGAGGGUUAGGGCUCGACCCCGGAGAAGGAGCCUGAGAAACGGCUACUACAUCCAAGGAAGGCAGCAGGCGCGCAAAUUACCCAAUCCCGAUUCGGGGAGGUAGUGACAAUAAAUACUGAUACAGGGCUCUUUUGGGUCUUGUAAUUGGAAUGAGUACAAUUUAAAUCCCUUAACGAGGAACAAUUGGAGGGCAAGUCUGGUGCCAGCAGCCGCGGUAAUUCCAGCUCCAAUAGCGUAUAUUAAAGUUGUUGCAGUUAAAAAGCUCGUAGUUGAACCUUGGGCCUGGCUGGCCGGUCCGCCUCACCGCGUGCACUGGUUCGGCCGGGCCUUUCCCUCUGGGGAGCCUCAUGCCCUUCACUGGGUGUGUUGGGGAACCAGGACUUUUACUGUGAAAAAAUUAGAGUGUUCAAAGCAGGCCUAUGCUCGAAUACAUUAGCAUGGAAUAAUAGAAUAGGACGUGUGGUUCUAUUUUGUUGGUUUCUAGGACCGCCGUAAUGAUUAAUAGGGACAGUCGGGGGCAUUAGUAUUCAAUUGUCAGAGGUGAAAUUCUUGGAUUUAUUGAAGACUAACUACUGCGAAAGCAUUUGCCAAGGAUGUUUUCAUUAAUCAGGAACGAAAGUUAGGGGAUCGAAGACGAUCAGAUACCGUCGUAGUCUUAACCAUAAACUAUGCCGACUAGGGAUCGGACGGUGUUAUUUUUUGACCCGUUCGGCACCUUACGAGAAAUCAAAGUCUUU
rnacentral:rRNA from 1 species